CGUACACUCCUACGGGAGGCAGCAGUGGGGAAUAUUGGACAAUGGGCGCAAGCCUGAUCCAGCCAUGCCGCGUGAGUGAUGAAGGCCCUAGGGUUGUAAAGCUCUUUCACCGGUGAAGAUAAUGACGGUAACCGGAGAAGAAGCCCCGGCUAACUUCGUGCCAGCAGCCGCGGUAACACGAAGGGGGCUAGCGUUGUUCGGAUUUACUGGGCGUAAAGCGCACGUAGGCGGACUAUUAAGUCAGGGGUGAAAUCCCGGGGCUCAACCCCGGAACUGCCUUUGAUACUGGUAGUCUUGAGUUCGAGAGAGGUGAGUGGAAUUCCGAGUGUAGAGGUGAAAUUCGUAGAUAUUCGGAGGAACACCAGUGGCGAAGGCGGCUCACUGGCUCGAUACUGACGCUGAGGUGCGAAAGCGUGGGGAGCAAACAGGAUUAGAAACCCGUGUAGUCCC
rnacentral:rRNA from 1 species